CCUACGGGUGGCUGCAGUGGGGAAUAUUGGACAAUGGGCGAAAGCCUGAUCCAGCCAUGCCGCGUGUGUGAAGAAGGCCUUCGGGUUGUAAAGCACUUUCAGUGGGGAAGAAAGCCUUGGGGCUAAUACCCUCGAGGAAGGACAUCACCCACAGAAGAAGCACCGGCUAACUCCGUGCCAGCAGCCGCGGUAAUACGGAGGGUGCGAGCGUUAAUCGGAAUUACUGGGCGUAAAGCGCGCGUAGGCGGUCUGAUAAGCCGGUUGUGAAAGCCCCGGGCUCAACCUGGGAACGGCAUCCGGAACUGUCAGGCUAGAGUGCAGGAGAGGAAGGUAGAAGUCCCGGUGUAGCGGUGAAAUGCGUAGAGAUCGGGAGGAAUACCAGUGGCGAAGGCGGCCUUCUGGACUGACACUGACGCUGAGGUGCGAAAGCGUGGGUAGCAAACAGGAUUAGAUACCCCGGUAGUC
rnacentral:rRNA from 1 species